GACGAACGCUGGCGGCGUGCCUAAUACAUGCAAGUAGAACGCUGAAGCGAGGAGCUUACUCUUCUUGGAUGAGUUGCGAACGGGUGAGUAACGCGUAGGUAACCUGCCUUGUAGCGGGGGAUAACUAUUGGAAACGAUAGCUAAUACCGCAUAACAAUGGAUGACACAUGUCAUUUAUUUGAAAGGGGCAAUUGCUCCACUACAAGAUGGACCUGCGUUGUAUUAGCUAGUAGGUGAGGUAAUGGCUCACCUAGGCGGCGAUACAUAGCCCGCCGUAGAGGGGGAAUGGCCAACACGGGACUGGGACACGGCCCAGACUCCCUAGGGAGGGAGCAGGAGGGAAACCUGGGGAAUGGGGGGAAAGCUGAACGGGGAACGGCGCGUGAGGGAAGGAGGGUUUCGGAUCGGAAAGCUCUGUUGUAAGUCAAGAAAGGGUGGGGGAGUGGAAAGUGCACACUGUGACGGUAGCUUACCAGAAAGAGACGGCUAACUACGUG
rnacentral:rRNA from 1 species